rnacentral:rasiRNA from 1 species
UAUACCGUUACCUUCACCACCUGGCGA